ACUCAAAUGAAUUGACGGGGACCCGCACAAGCGGUGGAGCACGUGGUUUAAUUCGACGGUAAGCGUGGAACCUUACCCAGACUUGACAUCUAGCGAAAGCACCAGAAAUGGAGCCGUGCCUUCGGGAACGCUAAGACAGGUACUGCAUGGUUGUCGUCAGCUCGUGCCGUGAGGUGUACGGUUAAGUCCGAUAACGAGCGCAACCCCUAUCAUAUGUUAAAAUAUUCAUAUGAGACUGCCCGGGAUAACCGGGAGGAAGGCGGGGAUGACGUCAAAUCAGCAUGGUCCUUACGUCUGGGGCUACACACAUGCUACAAUGGAUAAUUACAAAGGGACGCCAAACCGUAAGGUGGAGCAAAUCCCAACAAACUUAUCCUCAGUUCAGAUUGAGGGCUGCAACUCGCCCUCAUGAAGCCGGAAUCGCUAGUAACCGUGUAUCAGCCAUGGCACGGUGAAUACGUUCUCGGGUCUUGUACACACCGCCCGU
rnacentral:rRNA from 1 species